rnacentral:rRNA from 1 species
GACAGAGGGUGCAAACGUUGUUCGGAAUUACUGGGCGUAAAGCGCGUUUAGGCGGCUUGGCAAGUCGGGUGUGAAAGCCCUGGGCUCAACCUAGGAAGUGCACUCGAAACUGCUUCGCUUGAGUGUCGGAGAGGAAAGCGGAAUUCUCGGUGUAGAGGUGAAAUGCGUAGAUAUCUGGAGGAACACCGGUGGCGAAGGCGGCAUCCUGGACCAAUUCUGACGCUGAGGAGCGAAAGCCAGGGGAGCAAACGGG